UCCUAACCUCAUGAUCCGCCCACCUCGGCCUCCCAAAGUGCUGGGAUUAUAGGCAUGAGCCACCGCGCCAGCUAGAAGGAAUAAUUUCUAAUGUGCAAUAGCAGAGUAGGGUGACUGUAAUUAAUAACAAUGAAUUGUAUAUUUCAAAAUAGCUAAAGGAGCAGACUUGAAAUGUUCCCAACACAUAGAAACCAUAAGUGCUCAAGGUGAUGGAGAGUCUAAAUAUCCCGACUUGAUCAUUACACAUUCUACACACGCAACAAAGAUCAUAUGCACCCCGUGCACAUGCACGAAUGUCAUGUGUCAAUUUAAAGCAUGCCCCCUCCCUGUUGCUGUGCUCCAUGAGUCUGUGUGUGUGUGGGACAUCCACACCCAUCACAGCAUAGUCCUUUGUCACUUCUACAUAACAAGAAGGGCCAGGGCCAGAGGUGGUACUCCUGGAGGGGGGACGCAGGCCCAGAACAGUUCACUUUUGUGGGUGUGAGGAGUGAGUCAGGCUUGGGACAGGAACUCGGACACCUGGGCCCCACCCUCAGAGAUUCCAAUUGAAGUGGUCUGAAUUGGGACUCUGGCCUCAGUAUUUCUUAAAACUCCCAAUGACUCCAAUGUGCACCCAGGGUUGGAGAUUGCAGAUAUAUAUACGGUGAAGUCAGACUGUCUCCUGGCUCCUGUACCCCUCAGCACAGGUCUACUGGUCUCUGAAUCACAAUCGCAAAUUAGUGGGAGAGGAAAUCUGAUUGGCUGAGCUUGGGACCACGUGUCCAUCUUGAUCCAAUUAGCCAUGCCAGGGGGAUGGGCGAUGAACUAUACAGCUGCUCCGCCACUGAGGAACCCACCGUUACAUCUGGGGUGUAUUUCCCACAAAUGGGAAGGUCGUGGCUGGGCAGACAUCCCCAAAGGUGACUGGCACAGCUGGUGCCAUAUGCUAUGAAACUCUUGUUUGUUUUGAAGUCUGUGAAGUCUUUAAGGGCAGACAUCAUUUUCUGAAACCCUAUGUAUUAAUCACGAUUUCGUUUUCUGUAUUUUAGGAUGCUUUGACAUCUUGGGGCCCUGGGGACCCAGGAAGGGACUGCCCUUCCCAGGGUUGGCUAUUUCCUACAGGCAGCAAACAACUUGCCUGCAAGAUGCCUUCGAUAUGCAAACCAACUCAUCCCAAGUCCGUUCCCCAAACUGGCUCCUUUCAUCAGGCUUAGGAAACCCUAGACAUCAUCCUCCUGCCCAAAGUCACCCCAGGGCCAGAUACCAUUCAACUAGGGACCACCCUGAUAGCGCAGAGCCUGCUGAAGUUAUUCAGCCUAUCCAAUCUUAAACUUGCUCAGUGGCUUGCCCUGCCUCGCCCAUUCCUUCCCUUGAGAACCACAAAUGAAGAAAAAACUUGGCCCAUGCUUUUCCCUCACUCCUGCCUCCUGACCCGACCUGGUGCCUCCCUGUGUGGCUCUGAAUGGUGUGACAUGGUAUGUCCCCUUCUCUUGGGAACCGUAAGUAACAAACGAUCUUUUCAGUGGUGGUCGUCUCCUAAUCUGCUGGCCUUACCAUAUGAUGUUGUUUGAAUAUUUGUCCCCUUCAAAUCUCCUGUUGAAAUGUAAUCCCCAGGGUUGGAGGUGGAGCCUGGUGGAGGUGUUUGCUUAUGAGGGUGGACCCUUCAUGAACGGCUUAGUGCCAUCCCCUUGGUGACUAGUGAGUUCUAGCUCUGAAUUUAUGUGAGAUCUGGUUGUUUAAAACAGUGUGGUACCUCCCCACUCGCUCUCUUGCUGCUGCUCUCACCCUGUGAGAUGCCUGCUCUCUCUUCACCUUCUGCCAUGAGUGGAAGCUUCCUGAGGCCAUCACCAGAAGCAGGCACUAUGCACCAUGAUUCCUGUACUGUCUGCAGAACCGUGAGCCAAUGAAACCUCUUUUCUUUAUAAUUUACCCAGCACAGGUUUUUUUUUUUUUUUUUUUUUUUUUUUUUUUUUUUUUUGUUUUUGUUUUUUUUUUUAUAGUAAUACAAGAACAGCCUAACACAUCAUCCCUGAAUAAGAACAACCUCUUGGGUAUGUUUUUAAAAAUCCCAGCAUCUGGCACAGUACCUGUUACAUAGAAGGCAAGUGAUAAAUACUUGCUGAAUUAAAUAUAUGAAUAAAUGGAUGGAUGGUUGGAUGGAUGGAUGGAUAGACAGAUGGACAGAUGGAUGGACAGAUGGGUGGGUGGAUGGAUGGAUGGAUGAGAAGGCCCUUGAGAGUUUAGAGGGGGCAUGGUAUGAAGUUAUAUGCCUGAUCCAGCCCUGGGUGAUGGAUGCCUAGACCUGUCCGCCCAUGUUUCUUCCUCUGUCUUAGGAACCACAGGCAAUUACAGCGGGAUAACCAAAUGGAGAGGACAGGUGACUCCCUGAAAAACAGCAAUCAGACCAAGACCUGCAGAAGAAAGGGUGUGGAUUCAGUGUCCCAGCUCUUGAGGGCACUGUGUUUAUAGGUGGAAAUGAUGAACGGAUGUGCACUGACAUUUAUGUCACUGUGCUGGGACUUGCUCUCUCUUCUGCUCACAGUCUCUCUAUAUAGGAUAAAAGAUUCUGAGCACCAAAGAAUUGUCCCAUCUAGUCAAACUGGGGGAAACUGACAAACUCCAUCUUGGUUCAUUAGACCCAUGGAUGAAUUAUGGGAUGUAGAGGGAAACCGUGCCUGGUGCACGCUUAAUGAACCCAGGGGCUCCAGUGAUGGAUGGAUGGAUGGAAGUGAACAUUCAUCUACUCUCACUUGCUCCGAUGAUGUCAUUUUUAACCAACAGUGAACUUCACCCAGAAACCCCAACCCGGACACAGAGCAGAGAUAAGGCGGGUGAGAGUGCCUCAGGAGGAAUGUUAACCAGAUUCCAGAAGCCUGCCAGUCAGUCGUGCUAGUCAGGAUCUUACUCUGUUGCCCAGGCUGGAGUGCAGUGGUGCAGUCACGGCUCACCGCAGCUUCAACCUUCUGGACUCGAGUGAUUCUCCCACCUCAGCCUCCCCAGACGUGGAGACCACAGAACGUUAUUCCACAGAAGCAAGGACUUGGUCUUCUUCAUUCACUGCUGCAUCCACAGUGCUCAGGACAGCGCCUGUGCAGGAACCCCUCCUGAAUGACUGGCAUUUGCACACAGCCUUCUCCACUGCACCACGUGGACACAAGCAGUGUAGGGGAUGCAGCGUCCAUCUGCCCCCUGCUGCUCCUGUCGCAGCCUUCUGCCUUCAGGACCCACCAUUUAAGCCUCUUCUUCCUUCUCUACCUCUCCACUGCCUCAAUCCAGAGAAACUUUAUCCAGCCUGGGGCAGGGCUGUCUGGCUCUGACUGAUCACAUAUUCUCCUAAAUCUAUUAUUUAUGCCUAAACCGUAUGCCCUGAGUCUUUCAGGCCUGAGGCUUCUUAUGCUCAAAAGCCGGGCUUUGAAAUACAGAAAGCUUCUUCCCCCCUUAAAACUAUGGUCUCUGCUGUGAGUUUCCAGAAGCCUAUUUUGUAACACAGAAGUGAAAGCUUGAUUCCUUUUACUGUAUUUUGCAAUGUCAUCACUUCACUAAUGCAAGGCAUGUGAAUGUCCCUGCGGCUGCCUAUACCAGAGGGCAGGCCAAGGGGUUAGUAAGUAGGGUGAGGUUCGUGGAUCAAAAUAUUAUUUGUCACAUACUCUGUAGUACAGGAACUCUCACUAAGUAUUGCAAGUGUAAAUGACCUUGGAAGCACUUUCUAGUUGGAGCCACAGCAUUGGCAAACAAAGCUAAAAAUAAUAAACCCAGUGUUGCUGGGGACGUGGGAAACACCAUGCAUUAGGGAUGCUGCACUCCUUUGCUCCGAUAUUUCUGGAAAGCAGUCUGGUAAUAGUGUAUCAAGAACUAUCAACAUUAUCCCCUGAUGAUGCAUUGGUAAUACCACUUUGGGAGAUCUACUCCAUAAGCAUAAGCCAAAAGAAGCAAAAGAAAAACCAUAAUCUUGUUCAAAGAUGAUCAUGGCAUUAUUUAGAAACAAUGAAAAUAUCCCAGACAGGAAAGUGGUUAAGCACUAUGAUCUGUCAAGACAAUGGGAUAGUAGCUAAAUCUUUGGGCUUAGGGUAGGAUAACUACUUUAACAAAUAACCACAAACCUUGGUGGCUUAGCACAAUAAAGUUUAUUUCUUACACACAUUGCAACUCAAUGUAGGUCAGUUGGGGAGACAGGUUUCCGUAUGCCAUCACUCAGGGACCUAGGCUUCUGUGUUUAUUGGCUCCACCAUUUCCUCCCUGGGUCUGAUAGAUCCAUGAGGGAAGAGAGUGAGAACAGAGGAUUGCAAGGGAGGUUUCACGAGCCAGAUUCAGAGGUCUGGAGGCAACAUUACUUCUACCCACAUUCUAGGAGUCAGAACGCAGUCACAUGGCCACAUCUAACUACAAGGGAGGCUGGGAAAUGUAGUCUUGCUAUAAGCCCGGGGUGAAAGGGGAAUUGUCUGAUGAACACAUAGCAGUGAUUGCCACACUGUCAACAAGUUACAUAUGUUGACUAUGCUGACACAUGAGCACUUAAAUAUUAAAUCAUAUUAAAUAGACAAAGCAAAACACAGAAACACUAAUUAGGACUGAUUACUAAUAACUGUAUACUUGCAAUUAUGUAUACUGACCAACUCAGAAGUGAUUUUAAAGUAUUGUGGGCUUUGUAGUUGUAUGUUUUGUCCUUACUGUAAAAAGAAAAAUUCACAGGGCAGAUAAAACUGUGGUUAUGGAUUCAUGUGACCAGAUGUGGAAUUGCAUUAUGGUGUUUACCUUUUUGAAACUUUUUCAUUGAAAACAUAGAAGCUUGUUUGCAGCAACAUGGAUGAACCCGGAGGUCAUUGUGCUAAGUGAAAUAAGCUAGAUAUGGAAGGACAAAUACUGUAUGAUCUCACGCAUAUGUGGAAUCUAAAAAAGUUGAACUCAUUGAGGUGGAGAGUAGAACAGCAGUUGCCAGGGGGUGGGGGCUGGAGAAAACAGGGAGACGUGCUCAAAGGGUUCAAUGUUAGUUAUAAGAUGACCAAGUGCUGAAAAUCUAAUGGACAGAUGGUAAUGGAUGUAUUAAUUAAUUUGAUCGUGGUUAUCAUUAUACAAUGUCUACAUAUAUCAAAUCAUCACAUUGUAGACCUUGAGUAUAUUCAGUCUCUGUUAGUUAAAUAUUUUAAAAUAAAAAAUUUAAAAACAUAAAUGGAGUAUCAGUAUGAAAAAAUAAAAAGAGUUUUCUCAGUUCUAUUUUUCUGAUUAUAAAAUAAAUACCUGUUAUUGUAGAAAAUUAGAAAAGUGUUUUUUAAAGUAUGUACUAUUCUUCAGCUCACUGGUAAACACUGAUGAUACCACUUUACAGUUCUUUCUCCUAGGCAUAUAUUUAUAUAUUUAAGAUGCUGUAGACUAUUUUGCAGGCAGCAUUUGUCAUUUAUCACUAUUGCAUAGGUAUUUUUCCUUGUCACUAAAAUUAUUUUUCAAUUUUAAUGUCUUUACAAUAUUUCAUUAUAUAGAUGCACUAAAAUUUAAGCCACUCUCUGGGUGAGGGACAUUGUUCCCAUAUUUUGCUGGUAUAACUCACUCUCUAAGGAUUAUCUUUUACAAACAGCUUAGCCCACAUUUUUAAUUACUUUAUAGGAUGAAGUCCUUAAAAAGGAAUUACCAGGUCAGAAAACAUGAGUGGUUUCAAGGUUCUUGAUACACAUUGCCCAAACUGCCUUCCGGAAAGGUCAUAUAAUUUAUAUUCCUCUCUCAGUUCACUUUUAUAGUAUCCAGUACUAUUAAUAUUUCUAUUUUUUGCUGGUUUGAUAAACAGGAAGCUAUCUCUGGUGACUUUAUUUUUAAUUUUUUGGAUUCCUUUUGUAGCUGAGUAGCUUUCUUAUGUGUAUUAGCCAAACAUUUGUAUUUUCUCUUUUGUAAAUUAUCUAUUCAUAACCUUUACCCAUUUUCUAUUUCUUUUUUCUUAUUGAUUUGUAUGAAUGCCUUGUAUAGUAAGAAUAUUAACCUUUUGCCUGUCAUGUAUGUGGCUAAUAUUUUUUCAGUUUAUUGUUUGCUUGUAAUUUUUUGACAUCUAGAUGUUUACAAUCUUUGUGUGAUCUAAUAUGUUAGUCCUUUCCCUUGUGAUUUCCUUCAUUAUUUUAUACUUAGAAACUUCUUUCAAUGCAAGGAUUAAAUAAAUACUUAUCUACA